AGGGAAAUAGGAACUUUUCGAUAGUGCAGGAAGGGGGCGCCAAAAUGCUGCAAAUGGAAGUUCGAGUCCUGAACACUGACGCCUUAUAUCCCAAAGUAAAUUUUCGCUUUAAUCAAAUUUAACAGCUGUUAACUGAAAGUUUUCCUCCCUUUCCUUUUUUAUUUCCUUUUUUCCAAAACGGAAGCCAGGUGUGCAGUACUUUCCAACAUGCUGUAUUUGGGGGAUUAAUUGGUGUGUCGGUUUUACAUACUCGUGGCAGCUUUUUGCCAACAUGAACUUGCCACAAUUUGUCAGGUUGGAAACGUGCGGUUCUUAGCUGGACAGCUGCUAGAUGCCUGGAAAUAAUCCCUUCAUGUGAGGCGCGUGCCCCUACCUCCUUUUUUCUUUUCAGACCCGCUUCCUCGGCUUUUUUUCUUCUCCUUUCUCUUGCUUUCCUAAUUCCCCGUGCCUCUGGUCUGGGAGGUCGCAUUCCCUUUCCAACCCACAGUCCAGGCACUUGCGCGCGUUUAGCCAACGGGCUCCUCGACCUCUCUUUAUCUCUCCUUAAGUUGGAAGAGCCACGCUGCCGAGCCUCUAGCCUUCUGGGUGGUUCGGAGCUAAGACCAUCUCGUCUACAGAAGAGAAGAAAAGGAAUGUCUGCUGCCGUUGUGGUCUCACAUCUCAUGGACUUCAGUCCCUCGGGCUGAGGGAACAAUAACCUUCCAGUAGCCCCCCCCCCCCCCAACACCAGUGCCUUCUCACGCAGAGGAUUUCUGGCAAUAGCGAGGGGGGAGAAGCCUCAUCUCCCGAAUGCUAGGAUCCCCCUAGUUGGUAUCACGAUUUGAAAAGGCUCCCCUCGCUCCAGUCUCUGCUCUCGAGCCUGGGAGAGACAUCGCGCCACCCAGCCCCAGCCGAGCGGACCCUAGGCUCCCCGAGGCUCUCUUGGUGACACCAGGGCGCACCUCACACUCACCGAGGGGGCGGAAAAGAGAACAAAUCCAGGUAAGGAGGAGCAUCUCCUUUCUACCAUUUACACAUCGCAUACAUGGGGAACCAUUGCUUUGGAGCCCCUUUGCCUCCUGCCUCCUUUCCUCCUUUCCCUCCCUCCCCCAGCCCCUUCUUUCUUUCCCCCGGAGCGGGAAGGUGGGGGGGGAUGAAUUUGAGGGAGUGGAAUGGGGGAAACGCCUCCACACUCAAAUAGAGGAGCCGCCUGGCUGGGCGCAGGGCGAGCCUUUGGCUUUCUGGAAGGAGAGAGCUAUGAAUUAAUGCGAGGCUUCCAAUCGGAUCUAAAUAAUUGCUUAAAGUUUGCUCUAUUUGUAAAGAUAGGGAGGCAAGAAUUGGGCUGGGAGUGAUUAAGGGGGGGGCCGUAGUGGGCUGGAGAGCAUAGCCAAGGAGGGAAGCUAUUGAACAUAAAAAAUACACAGACACACACAAACACAUACACACACACACACGCCUGAACUUGGAUGGAAAGCAGCUUUUUUUUUGAGGGUUUAAAAGAAACUUGUUAGUGGAGAGAAUUACACCACGAAGAAAAUGCUUCAUGCUAGGGGUAUGGCAGAG
rnacentral:lncRNA from 1 species